rnacentral:rRNA from 1 species
UGUAAGCGUAUACCAAAGUUGUUGCAGUUAAAACGCUCGUAGUCGGAAUUUGGCGGUUCCGGAUGUGUGCACGUCGUGUGCGCACUUCGCGGGGAUUGCUUUUGUGGUCUUGCGUAGGAUGAGGCACUUUUAUUAGUGAACGUCCUCACGCAACCACUUUUUACUGUGAGAAAAUCAGAGUGCUCAAAGCAGGCAUUUGCCGUGAAUGUAUUAGCAUGGAAUAAUAGAAUAGGACUUGGUUCUAUUUUGUUGGUUUGUUGGGACUGAGUAAUGAUUAAGAGGGACAGUUGGGGGCAUUUGUAUUUCGGUGCUAGAGGUGAAAUUCUUAGAUUACCGAAAGACAAACUGCUGCGAAAGCGUCUGCCAAGGAUGUUUUCAUUGA